rnacentral:miRNA from 1 species
UUGUUCUCAAACUGGCUGUCAGA